GAGGUUCAUCCAUCUCCCCUUGCUAGGUGAUGCAGCAAUUUGAGAAAUAAAUGUAACAGAUGAAUCUCUUUCUGGGCUCCGGCAGGAUGUUCUAUUGUCCCGAGAAGGUGCAUUUUUGCCGAGACGCUCGGCGUUGCUAUAGUGAGGCGCAGAAAUGAAAUAACAAAGCUCACACUAAAGCUGUGUUUGGGUGUCCUUGCACAACUGAAGGCUUCUUUUAAACUCGCUGAGAAAGUGCGGGAACCUCAGCCAAAAUAAAAGUCCAGUCCCGCCGGACUGAAUGAGUGGAGGAGGCCGGUGAUGUGGCUUUCCUUUAGGCCAAUGGGCAAGAAUAAGCACUGCAACCGAUUUGAAUAAACAAAUACGGCAUGACUUUAGCAACGACACGGGAUAACUGCGCGUCGAGCCGCAUGCAACGAGCAAAAUGAUUUCUUUCAGAUGUGUUGCCAAGUCUGAGUUAAAUUCAGGUCGGUGAAGGUGUCACGGUUGACAGUGUCAGUCAAGAACGGAAGGGCCGAACUUAUGAUUUAUUUAAAACAAUCAUUUAAAGCAGCAAGUCUGAUGACAGACCACUUCUGAUUUCUUUUCAGAAGGCUAUAAUCAGUGUUUUCAUUCUUGGUAAAUUCUAUUUAAAGUUCACUCAACAAACCCCUAUCAGUAUCCUUGUCAAUGCACUGGACAGCAGAUCUCUUUUUGUGUGUCAGGCACUGAUGAAAGAAAUCUGUUCUAUUCCGUUUAACUUUAGCCCAUAGUAAUGGGUGCACAUUACGAAUCAAUCUUCCUUUCAUGAUAGUUAAGGUCAAUAUUCUACCCACGCAUAGAACGCCUGACAAAACAGAACUUUUGCGGUAGAUCGCGGGACUCUUAUUUUGCAAAGGAGAUGCAAUUAGCUUUGUAUUGCAACUCUCUGAAAGCUUGUAGAAAAUAAGUAACCGCUAUGGGAGAAGAUCUCGUGACACAUAAAACCGAAAUAAAACUAUAUAGCGGGAAGCAGAAAAGAGGCUGUAAAGGUCAUUCGUCUAGAGAUGUUACAAAGUGCAGAGCCGAUGGUGUGACCUGCUUUCCUAUCAGUUCUACAAGACUUCCAAAAGACUUAACGGUGAUUUAUCUGCAAUCAAUCCAGAAGAGCAGAUUACCUCCAAAACAUAUUGAGAGAAAACAAAAUGUCGACAGGCACGGGCACUACAUCGACAACCAGAAUUGGUCUCCUUCCAGAAAGCAUCAACCUGGACUAAAUUGCAUAUCAAAAUCUACCUGAGUUUUCGUGAAUAUGGAUUUGAAUCUCUACCUCGCUAAUAAAUACAAAAUUGCAAACAGCACCUGCAGUUUUAAAACUUGAACAUUAGUGUGAAUUGAGAUUAAUGUAUUAACAGUUUUGUUAAAAUUAGAUUUCUUUCAUUACAAAAUCAAUGAUUAUUUGGAUGUGUGCACUUAGCAACUAAUAUCAUUGGACUUAAGGCGAACUUUUAUGACUUUCACUAAACACCAAAGGAGCAGUAGUUAAUGCAAUAUGUGAAAUGUUACAUUAUUAUUUACGCAGAGAGCCGACAUAGACACGACAGGCCGAAUGGCUCCCUUCUGUACUUUAAAUAAUCUGUGAUCCUGUAUAAACUUACUUGUUUACAAACUACCCGAAAACUACCGAAACAUACCUCGUCAAAUUAUCACAACUAGUGCUCCUUUAACUUCACCUUCAGGAACUACUGUGUGUGCACGUUUCUAAGCACCUUUCUCCAUUCUGGUGACAGGUUACCACAUUUGUGGCACAAUUUAAUGGAAAAAAAAUGAAUCUGCAGCUUUUGAGUGCAAAAUUAUACCAUUUCUCUCCAAUGUAAAAUUCAGUUCUAAUAUUGCUGCCCAGUUUUGUUUGAGAUUGCAUCCUGUUUUAAAUUGUGUUUGCGUGAACACCUCCUUCCCGCCGUUGCUGUUUGUGGCCUGUGCGUGACAUAAAUAAAGGUAGUCUUCUUUCUU